rnacentral:rRNA from 1 species
UACGUAGGGUGCAAGCAUUAAUCGGAUUUAUUGGGCGUAAAGGGCGCGUAGGCGGGCUUGUAAGUCAGAUGUGAAAUCCCGGGGCUCAACCCCGGAACAGCAUAUGAAACUGCAAGUCUAGAGGGUAGGCGGAGAAAACGGAAUUCCACAAGUAGCGGUGAAAUGCGUAGAUAUGUGGAAGAACACCGGUGGCGAAGGCGGUUUUCUAGCUUAUUCCUGACGCUAAAGCGCGAAAGCAAGGGGAUCAAACAGG